rnacentral:rRNA from 1 species
UGGAUCCAGACUUUGAUCCUGGCUCAGGAUGAACGCUAGCUACAGGCUUAACACAUGCAAGUCGAGGGGAAACGACAUCGAAAGCUUGCUUUUGAUGGGCGUCGACCGGCGCACGGGUGAGUAACGCGUAUCCAACCUGCCCACCACUUGGGGAUAACCUUGCGAAAGUAAGACUAAUACUCAAUGAUAUCUCUAGAAGACAUCUGAAAGGGAUUAAAGAUUUAUCGGUGAUGGAUGGGGAUGCGUCUGAUUAGCUUGUUGGCGGGGUAACGGCCCACCAAGGCGACGAUCAGUAGGGGUUCUGAGAGGAAGGUCCCCCACAUUGGAACUGAGACACGGUCCAAACUCCUACGGGAGGCAGCAGUGAGGAAUAUUGGUCAAUGGGCGAGAGCCUGAACCAGCCAGGUAGCGUGCAGGAUGACGGCCCUAUGGGUUGUAAACUGCUUUUAUAAGGGAAUAAAGUGAGCCUCGUGAGGCUUUUUGCAUGUACCUUAUGAAUAAGGACCGGCUAAUUCCGUGCCAGCAGCCGCGGUAAUACGGAAGGUCCGGGCGUUAUCCGGAUUUAUUGGGUUUAAAGGGAGCGUAGGCCGGAGAUUAAGCGUGUUGUGAAAUGUAGACGCUCAACGUCUGCACUGCAGCGCGAACUGGUUUCCUUGAGUACGCACAAAGUGGGCGGAAUUCGUGGUGUAGCGGUGAAAUGCUUAGAUAUCACGAAGAACUCCGAUUGCGAAGGCAGCUCACUGGAGCGCAACUGACGCUGAAGCUCGAAAGUGCGGGUAUCGAACAGGAUUAGAUACCCUGGUAGUCCGCACGGUAAACGAUGGAUGCCCGCUGUUGGUCUGAAUAGGUCAGCGGCCAAGCGAAAGCAUUAAGCAUCCCACCUGGGGAGUACGCCGGCAACGGUGCAACUCAAAGGAAUUGACGGA